rnacentral:rRNA from 1 species
UGCGUAGGUGGUUUCUUAAGUCAGAGGUGAAAGGCUACGGCUCAACCAUAGUAAGCCUUUGAAACUGGGAAACUUGAGUGCAGGAGAGGAGAGUGGAAUUCCUAGUGUAGCGGUGAAAUGCGUAGAUAUUAGGAGGAACACCAGUUGCGAAGGCGGCUCUCUGGACUGUAACUGACACUGAGGCACGAAAGCGUGGGGAGCAAACA